UACGUAGGGUCCGAGCGUUGUCCGGAAUUACUGGGCGUAAAGAGCUCGUAGGUGGUUUGUCGCGUUGUUCGUGAAAACUCACAGCUCAACUGUGGGCGUGCGGGCGAUACGGGCAGACUAGAGUACUGCAGGGGAGACUGGAAUUCCUGGUGUAGCGGUGGAAUGCGCAGAUAUCAGGAGGAACACCGGUGGCGAAGGCGGGUCUCUGGGAAGUAACUGACGCUGAGAAGCGAAAGCAUGGGUAGCAAACAGG
rnacentral:rRNA from 1 species